GGGGGAUUAGCUCAGUUGGAAUGAGCGACUGGUUUGCAACCAGUAGGUCAUCGGUUCGACCCCGAUAUCCUCCA
rnacentral:tRNA from 2 species